GGGGCCGGUGGGCCGCUGACCUCCUCAAAGAACCGGGUAGAGAACUACCCGCCCACCCACCCUCCACGCGCCCGGAGUUGGCCGUCACUCGUCCGAGUGACCCGCUUGCAGGCGCCCGAUUCGGGCGGCUACGUUCGCCGCAACGAACGCACACAAGUCGGCCCCCGCCAAGGAUUCGCAGUCCCGGCGAGGGCCUGACCGAUCAGGAAGUCGACACCUUCCCA
rnacentral:ncRNA from 1 species